rnacentral:rRNA from 1 species
GACGAACGCUGGCGGCGUGCUUAACACAUGCAAGUCGAACGGAAAGGCCCUGCUUUUGUGGGGUGCUCGAGUGGCGAACGGGUGAGUAACACGUGAGUAACCUGCCCUUGACUUUGGGAUAACUUCAGGAAACUGGGGCUAAUACCGGAUAGGAGCUCCUGCUGCAUGGUGGGGGUUGGAAAGUUUCGGCGGUUGGGGAUGGACUCGCGGCUUAUCAGCUUGUUGGUGGGGUAGUGGCUUACCAAGGCUUUGACGGGUAGCCGGCCUGGGGGGGUGACCGGCCACAUUGGGACUGAGGGACGGCCCAGACUCCUACGGGAGGCAGCGGUGGGGAAUAUUGCACAAUGGGCGGAAGGCUGAUGCAGCAACGCCGCGCGCGGGAUGACGGCCUUCGGGUUGUAAACCGCUUUCGCCUGUGACGAAGCGUGAGUGACGGUAAUGGGUAAAGAAGCACCGGCUAACUACGUGCCAGCCGCCGCCGUAA